GGGCUCGUAGCUCAAUGGUUAGAGCUGGCGGCUCAUAACCGCCUGGUUCCAGGUUCGAGUCCUGGCGAGCCCACCA
rnacentral:tRNA from 1 species